UGUUAUGGCGGCUGUGCGCGGGAGACCUUCGGGUCUACCGGGUUCCUAGGUUACCGGUUCGCUAACCCGCGCACAGCUGCCACCUUU
rnacentral:antisense_RNA from 3 species